rnacentral:pre_miRNA from 1 species
UGUCAUGCUUUUCCACGGCUUUCUUGAACUUCUCUUUCAAUUUUUUCUUCAUAAUUUUGCUAGCCGCUUUUGGUGCAGCUAUAGCUAGCAUAGAAGUUCAAGAAAGCUGUGGAAUAACAUGGCAA